UGGGGAAUAUUGCACAAUGGGCGAAAGCCUGAUGCAGCAACGCCGCGUGAGUGAUGAAGGUCUUCGGAUUGUAAAGCUCUGUCUUUUGGGACGAUAAUGACGGUACCAAAGGAGGAAGCCACGGCUAACUACGUGCCAGCAGCCGCGGUAAUACGUAGGUGGCGAGCGUUGUCCGGAUUUACUGGGCGUAAAGGGUGCGUAGGCGGAUGUUUAAGUGAGAUGUGAAAUACCCGGGCUUAACUUGGGUGCUGCAUUUCAAACUGGAUAUCUAGAGUGCAGGAGAGGAGAAUGGAAUUCCUAGUGUAGCGGUGAAAAUGCGUAGAGAUUAGGAAGAACACCAGUGGCGAAGGCGAUUCUCUGGACUGUAACUGACGCUGAGGCACGAAAAGCGUGGGUAGCAAACAGGAUUAGAUACCCUGGUAGUCCACGCCGUAAAACGAUGAGUACUAGGUGUAGGAGGUAUCGACCCCUUCUGUGCCGCAGUAAAACACAUUAAAGUACUCCG
rnacentral:rRNA from 1 species